rnacentral:rRNA from 1 species
CGAGGAAAGACAUCACUCGCAGAAGAAGCACCGGCUAACUCCGUGCCAGCAGCCGCGGUAAUACGGAGGGUGCAAGCGUUAAUCGGAAUUACUGGGCGUAAAGCGCGCGUAGGUGGCUAAGUCAGCCAGGUGUGAAAGCCCCGGGCUCAACCUGGGAACGGCAUCUGGAACUGCUUGGCUAGAGUGCAGGAGAGGAAGGUAGAAUUCCCGGUGUAGCGGUGAAAUGCGUAGAGAUCGGGAGGAAUACCAGUGGCGAAGGCGGCCUUCUGGACUGACACUGACACUGAGGUGCGAAAGCGUGGGUAGCAAACAGGAUUAGAUACCCUGGUAGUCCACGCCGUAAACGAUGUCAACUAGCCGUUGGGUCCCUUGAGGACUUAGUGGCGCAGCUAACGCAAUAAGUUGACCGCCUGGGGAGUACGGCCGCAAGGUUAAAACUCAAAUGAAUUGACGGGGGCCCGCACAAGCGGUGGAGCAUGUGGUUUAAUUCGAUGCAACGCGAAGAACCUUACCUACCCUUGACAUCCAGAGGACUUUCCAGAGAUGGAUUGGUGCCUUCGGGAACUCUGAGACAGGUGCUGCAUGGCUGUCGUCAGCUCGUGUUGUGAAAUGUUGGGUUAAGUCCCGUAACGAGCGCAACCCCUAUCCUUAUUUGCCAGCGAGUAAUGUCGGGAACUCUAAGGAGACUGCCGGUGACAAACCGGAGGAAGGUGGGGACGACGUCAAGUCAUCAUGGCCCUUACGGGUAGGGCUACACACGUGCUACAAUGGCAAGUACAAAGGGUUGCAAUACUGCGAAGUGGAGCCAAUCCCAUAAAGCUUGCCUCAGUCCGGAUUGGAGUCUGCAACUCGACUCCAUGAAGUCGGAAUCGCUAGUAAUCGUGGAUCAGAAUGCCACGGUGAAUACGUUCCCGGGCCUUGUACACACCGCCCGUCACACCAUGGGAGUGGACUGCACCAGAAGUGGUUAGCCUAACCUUCGGGAGGGCGAUCACCACGGUGUGGUUCAUGACUGGGGUGAAGUCGUAACAAGGUAGCCCUAGGGGAACCUGGGGCUGGAUCACCUCCUUA